rnacentral:rRNA from 1 species
GAAUAUUGGACAAUGGCCGCAAGGCUGAUCCAGCCAUCCAGCGUGCAGGAAGAAGGCCCUAUGGAUUGUAAACUGCUUUUGUCAGGGAAUAAACCUGUGGAUUUACUCCGCAGCUGAAGGUACCUGAAGAAUAAGCACCGGCUAACUCCGUGCCAGCAGCCGCGGUAAUACGGAGGGUGCGAGCGUUAUCCGGACUUACUGGGUUUAAAGGGUGCGUAGGCGGCGUAGUAAGUCAGGAGUGAAAGUUUGCGGCUCAACCGUAAAAUUGCUUUUGAUACUGCUAUGCUAGAAUUAGGAUGAGGUCAGCGGAAUGUGGCAUGUAGCGGUGAAAUGCAUAGAUAUGCCAUAGAACACCAAUUGCGAAGGCAGCUGGCUAGACCUGGAUUGACGCUGAGGCACGAAAGCGUGGGGAGCGAACAGG